GCUGGGCAUGGUGGCGCGUGCCUGUAGUCUCAGCUACUCAGGAGGCUGAGGCAGGAGAAUUGCCUGAACCCAGGAGGCAGAUGUUGCGGUGAGCCGAGAUCACACCAUUGCACUCCAGCCUGGGUAACAAGAGUGAAACUCCUUCUCAAAAAAAAAAUAUGGUGACCUCCUGGGAGCAGGGGACCACCAGUUUGCCUAAGGAGGGGUGAACCAGCCUAGGUCAGAAACGGAGCAGGUCAAAACUCCAGUGCUGAUCAGUAGUGGGAUCGUGCCUGUGAAUAGCCACUGCACUCCAGCCUUGGCAACAUAGGAGACCCCGUCUCUA
ensembl:misc_RNA Metazoa_SRP Metazoan signal recognition particle RNA